rnacentral:rRNA from 1 species
AGAGUUUGAUCCUGUCUCAGGACGAACGCUGGCGGCGCGCCUAACACAUGCAAGUCGAACGAGAGAGAAGGAGCUUGCUUCUUCGAUCGAGUGGCGAACGGGUGAGUAACGCGUGAGGAACCUGCCUCAAAGAGGGGGACAACAGUUGGAAACGACUGCUAAUACCGCAUAAGCCCACGGGUCGGCAUCUACCUGAGGGAAAAGGAGCAAUCCGCUUUGAUAUGGCCUCGCGUCCGAUUAGCUAGUUGG